AUACUUACCUGGCAGGGGAGAUACCAUGAUCACGAAGGUGGUUUUCCCAGGGUGAGGCUCAUCCAUUGCGCUCUGGAUGUGCUGACCUCUGCAAUUUCCCCAAAUGUGGGAAACUCAACUGCAUAAUUUGUGGUAGUGGGGGACUGCAUUCAUGCUUCCCCCUU
ensembl:snRNA U1 U1 spliceosomal RNA